rnacentral:rRNA from 1 species
UACGUAGGGUGCAAGCGUUAAUCGGAAUUACUGGGCGUAAAGCGUGCGCAGGCGGUUAUGUAAGACAGUUGUGAAAUCCCCGGGCUCAACCUGGGAACUGCAUCUGUGACUGCAUAGCUAGAGUACGAUAGAGGGGGGUAGAAUUCCACGUGUAGCAGUGAAAUGCGUAGAGAUGUGGAGGAAUACCGAUGGCGAAGGCAGCCCCCUGGGAUAACACUGACGCUCAUGCACGAAAGCGUGGGGAGCAAACAGG